CCUACGGGUGGCAGCAGUGGGGAAUAUUGCACAAUGGGCGCAAGCCUGACGCAGCGACGCCGCGUGUGGGAUGAAGGUCUUCGGAUCGUAAACCUCUGUCAGCAGGGAAGAAGGGUCUCUGUUCUAAUCUUCUGUGCAUUGACGUUACCUGCAAAAGAAGCACCGGCUAACUCCGUGCCAGCAGCCGCGGUAAUACGGAGGGUGCGAGCGUUAAUCGGAAUUACUGGGCGUAAAGCGCACGUAGGCGGUAUGUCAAGUCAAGGGUGAAAUCCCCGAGCUCAACGUGGGAACUGCCUUUGAAACUGGCAAACUGGAGUGUGGGAGAGGAGAGUAGAAUUCCAGGUGUAGGAGUGAAAUCCGUAGAUAUCUGGAGGAACAUCAGUGGCGAAGGCGACCAGCUGGAAGAUAACUGACGCUGAGGAGCGAAAGCGUGGGUAGCAAACAGGAUUAGAUACCCGAGUAGUC
rnacentral:rRNA from 1 species